CGCCCCGCCGCCGGCCUUCUCUCCCUCGCCUCCCCCACCUCGCCGCCGCCUGAGCAGCCGCCGGCAAAGCCGGGCAGCGGCAAGGACGGUGGCGGCGGGGCAUUCUACCCCCUCCAACACCCGGUGGUUGGGGCCCCGACGGGAAACAGGCGGAGGGGCGGCGACGCGUUGAGGCGGCUCCGGCGACGCCGACGGCCAGAGCGGAUCUGGCCCCCCCGCGGCCAGAUCGAGACGAAGCGGCGUCGGCCACGCCGCAUUAGCGAGGUGCCGGCAGAGAAGGCCGCCGGCUGCGGCAGUCGCGGCGCGGGCGGAGGAGGCGACGUCGCUGGCGGCGGGGACGAGGCAGAGAGCCUGGCCGCCGCCGGAUCUGGCUCCCUCCAGGCCGGAUCCAACGCCCGCAGCGAAGGAGGCCGGCUCCGGGUUCGGCACCGGCACCCCCAGUCCGGAUCUGGCCUCUCCGGCGAGGGAGGCCGGAUCCCCUCCGGUGGCUCCUCGGCAGUGGACGACGCGUCGACAAGGGCGGCGGUUAGAGGGCAGCAGGAGGCGUGGGUGGCCGCGGCAGGAGGGCCAGUGCUGCGGCUGGUCUGGCGAGUCUGCCGGAGCUGCGGGCGGUAG
rnacentral:lncRNA from 1 species